rnacentral:rRNA from 1 species
CGGUAGCUGGUCUGAGAGGAUGACCAGCCACACUGGAACUGAGACACGGUCCAGACUCCUACGGGAGGCAGCAGUGGGGAAUAUUGGACAAUGGGGGGAACCCUGAUCCAGCAAUGCCGCGUGUGUGAAGAAGGCCUGAGGGUUGUAAAGCACUUUCAGUGGGGAGGAGGGUUGACAGGUUAAGAGCUGGUUGACUGGACGUUACCCACAGAAGAAGCACCGGCUAACUCCGUGCCAGCAGCCGCGGUAAUACGGAGGGUGCGAGCGUUAAUCGGAAUUACUGGGCGUAAAGGGUGCGUAGGUGGUUUGAUAAGUUAUCUGUGAAAGCCCUGGGCUCAACCUGGGAACUGCAGAUAAGACUGUUGAACUCGAGUAUAGGAGAGGGUAGUGGAAUUUCCGGUGUAGCGGUGAAAUGCGUAGAGAUCGGAAGGAACACCAGUGGCGAAGGCGGCUACCUGGCCUAAUACUGACACUGAGGCACGAAAGCGUGGGGAGCAAACAGGAUUAGAUACCCUGGUAGUCCACGCUGUAAACGAUGUCAACUAGCUGUUGGUCUUAUGAAUGAGAUUAGUGGCGCAGCA